rnacentral:lncRNA from 1 species
AAAACAUAAAAGAUCAACAGCAACUCUGAGAUCGGAGAAGAACAGAUCGGAGAAAGUGAUGAACUGCAGAUCGACUGCAACUGCAAGAUCUAUAACCAGAAAGUGAUGAACUGCAGAUCGGAGAAGAACAUAAAAGAUCGACAGCAACUUCAAGAUCUAUAACCAGAAACUUACUGCAACUGCACUGAUUGUUGAUCGUACUGCACUGAUUGUUGAUUCAUUACAAAUUUGUAUACUGAGGUAUUUGAGUUUCCAAUUUAUAUGCAUAGUGUUAUCCCGUGUUUACUACGUAUUCGUCUAUUGGUUAC